AUCUUGCGCAAUGGGCGAAAGCCUGACGCAGCGACGCCGCGUGGGUGAUGAAGGCCUUCGGGUUGUAAAGCCCUGUGGGGAGGGAAGAAUAAGCCGUGGCUAAUAUCCACGGUGAUGACGGUACCUCCUUAGCAAGCACCGGCUAACUCUGUGCCAGCAGCCGCGGUAAGACAGAGGGUGCAAACGUUGUUCGGAAUUACUGGGCGUAAAGCGCGUGCAGGCGGCUUCGUAAGUCAGGUGUGAAAGCCCUCGGCUCAACCGGGGAAGUGCACUUGAAACUACGAGGCUAGAGUCCCGGAGAGGAUGGUGGAGUUCUCGGUGUAGAGGUGAAAUUCGUAGAUAUCGAGAGGAACACCGGUGGCGAAGGCGGCCAUCUGGACGGUGACUGACGCUGAGACGCGAAAGCGUGGGGAGCAAAC
rnacentral:rRNA from 1 species